AUAGAAAGAACAUGAACAGUGCAUCUCCUAUAUUAAUAACAGGGCUAAGUACUAGCAUCAAGAUAGAAUAAAUCUUACCAGAAGCUAUCUGAAAUGAAUCGAAAUGCCGGAAUUACAGGCUUAAGGCUGGCCAAAGCAUGUACCAGAAACUUUGACUAAAGCAUUUAUAAUACAAUCAGCUACAAAUCAUUGGUUGAACGCAAAGCGGGAAAUAGAUUUGAUGUCCUAUGCCCUGGAUUAGAUGUCUGUGUUUCCACAGGGCUUAGAACAACAAAGUAAUGUAAUAUGAAUAAAUAAAUGUCUGAAACAGAAGAAAGUAGGAAUCCAAGAUGCGAUAUCAAAGGCUCUGUGCUUUCACUAGUUUGUAUGUGGUCAAACAGUUGAACAAUGAGCAUUAUUGGUCAAUGUUUGAUAGGGUUGAAAAUGGAUUGGAUGCUGGUAUUUCCAUAUCCAUAUCCACCUUCUUCUAUGGACACUGAUACGGAUAUUAAAUAGAUACAAAAAUUAGUAUCCAUAUUUGCUCUAAAAAGACAUGGAUAUGAAUUGGAUAUUAAGCAUAUUCAUACUUGUUCUGAAUGGAUACAGAUAUAGGCAGAUACUAUUUAUAUGCAUAUUUUUCUAUCCUACUAAGAUAUAAGUUGGAUAUUAUUCAGAUAUAAACCGAAUUUUUAGCAAAAUUCAGUGAUAAAAACUAAAAUUAAUAAUAUAAUUAUACAGAAUGGGAAUAGAAUUCAUUAUGCAGAGCAGCACCUAAGCACUAAGUAUCCCCUAGUCUCCCACCUCAAGUCUUCUAUCUUUUAGAACCAUGUGCCUGGUUGAAAUUAUCUAGUCAUGCAGGAAGAAGCUUAGUCUAAGAAUUCCUGGUUAAGGAUAAACCUUUUGUCAAGUAAAAGCUCUUUAAAAAGUGAAAUGCGACCUAAGCAUAACACCAAGCAUAUCGGUGUAGUCCUCAUAUUUAUUCAAUCUACGACGCUUUACACAUAAAAUAGAAACCUUGACAAAGCCCAGCACAACAAAAGUGACUGGAAGUUCUAUCUUUAGAAAUGUUAUCAUGAGCUAAUCCUCUCUGACCUACCAAUUCACUCUAGGAGAGGUUCAUCUCCUUCCAAUUUACUCACAAGGUAGUGUUAGGAACUUAGAUUUAGAAAUGAAAGCGCAUUAGAGCCUUUGCAAACAAGCCAAACAAAAUCAAUUAAACUAAGGUACAAUAUAAAACAAUAUAUUGACUCCUUUACAGCACAAAUAAAGCAACAAUUAACAGAAAAAGAAAAAAUGUAUCAAAAAAAAAGAACAUUAAGCUCACUACCAUAAACUUGCUGAUCUACAUGACACAAUUAGGGUUUGUAUAAAAGCAUAAACUAACUAGUGAAAGGAUUGCAAUGAUUCUAGAAAAUUCGCAUCCACCUUUCACCAUCAGUGAACCAAUACAAUGAUCUCUUCCUCCACAGCUACUAAGAAUUUACUCAUUCAACUUAGACAAGAAAGGCCAAUACAUUAUACAUUAUAUAAUUUGUAAAAUUGUUGUGCUAGGUCCCGUUUCAAAUUCCAUAGAAUAUUCCUUUCAGGAAGUUAUGAUGAUUACUAUGUAAUGGAAAAAAGCUGAAGUGUCAUACUCUAAAGACAUGUAGGACACUUCAUAGCAAUCCAUCAUAAUCGUGAGAAUUAUAAUAUUAUGAGUAUAAUUAACAUAUGCAUAUAUCUGAUGAAACUCAAUAAUCUUAUCUAGGACCAACAAAA